AUUGAACGCUGGCGGCAUGCUUUACACAUGCAAGUCGAACGGUAACAGGGUGCUUGCACCGCUGACGAGUGGCGAACGGGUGAGUAAUGCGUCGGAACGUGCCGAGUAGUGGGGGAUAACGCAGCGAAAGUUGUGCUAAUACCGCAUACGUACUGAGGUAGAAAGUGGGGGACCUUCGGGCCUCGCGCUAUUCGAGCGGCCGACGUCUGAUUAGCUAGUAGGUGAGGUAAAGGCUCACCUAGGCGACGAUCAGUAGCGGGUCUGAGAGGAGGAUCCGCCACACUGGGACUGAGACACGGCCCAGACUCCUACGGGAGGCAGCAGUGGGGAAUUUUGGACAAUGGGCGAAAGCCUGAUCCAGCCAUGCCGCGUGUCUGAAGAAGGCCUUCGGGUUGUAAAGGACUUUUGUCGGGGAGGAAAUCCCCAGCGUUAAUACCGCUGGGGGAUGACAGUACCUGAAGAAUAAGCACCGGCUAACUACGUGCCAGCCGCCGCAGUAAGAC
rnacentral:rRNA from 1 species